rnacentral:miRNA from 1 species
UCUAAAGACUAGACUUCGCUAUG